AGCCAACUGGCUCCUCUCCUGCCCAAGGUGCUGGUGGAAGAUGGAGCCUCCCAUGGCUUUUGCAACCACUGAGACCAAGGGCCGGGACACCCACUAUUGCACCCACAGCGGCUGCUGUCCACCCGGCAUCCUUUGGAGCAAGAGGGGUCUGGCCUCUGCACCGCAGCUGCUGGCCACCAUGGUCCGGAGACAUCUGUAGGGGAGGGGUGAAAGCUCUUUAAAGACAGGACCUAUGGAGGCCUUGGAAGUGCUGGGUCUUCUUCCAAGGAGGAGAAAUUCCCUGAGUUGAACUGAAUGGCAUCUGUGUAUUCACAAGAAUAAAUAAAAGAAGCAGUGAACGGACAC
rnacentral:lncRNA from 1 species